CCCAGCCCUGACUCCAAGGCUCAUGGGGGUGUUCCCACUGCCUUAACUUCUCUCUGCGGCCCUCAGUUUCUUUGCACCUUGUUCUUUCCUCCAGGUCCCCAGCUUCGAGAUUGUCUGCCCGGGUGUACCACGUGAGAAGUCCAUCAGCCGUCAGCCCAUCAGGCUGUGGAACGCUGGACUCGCAAACACCCGACCGGUGUGGAGGCGCGGACAUUCUCGGACAUUCCGCCUAGCAAGCAAACCCAAAACGUCUCUGGCCCUCAGUUGAGAAACUCUGCACUUGGAAAGGAAACAAGGACUUCCCAGCAGCUGAGUCAGCCCCCCUGAAAACAAAAACAAAAACAAAAACACAACCCUGAGGAAGUUUAUGAACGCAGGAAAACCCGAGGGGCCUCCAAGUGGUUUCGGCUACCUCGACCCUCAGAUUUGCAGCGCUGGGACCUGGACCCCUUCCAAGACCCGUUCACUCACCUUGGCCAAGUCUUCAACAUUGAAGGAGGCUGCGUCAGGUAAUGUCUGCUGAAAGCUUGGCACUCUUCACGGCCAAGGACAAAACUUAAAGUUGAGCCUUGACGCCCUGAGACUGGGACCUUCUUAGCCAAGCCUGGGAGCCCCCAUCAGUGGUCUGGCUCACGUGACCCAAGUGAAAGUUGUACCUACAGAAUUUCGGGCCCCACAACUGCCAGGUGGACACAAGAGAGGCUGAUUCGAGUUGCGCCAGGGAGCUGGCGUCCCUGCCCACCGCUGCCCGCCGUCCCGCAGGGCGUGGGCUUAGUCGAGAGCUUCUCCAGUGAAGACGUUGAUGUGAGCCUCAUCGUUUCAACUCCUGAAAGCAGCUGCUGUUUGGGGCGUCUGGCUGGCUCAGUCGGUGGAGCAUCCGAUCCUGAUUUUGGCUCAGCCCCCGGGAAUACCUGGCCCGCCAAAGCCUGUGCUCCCUGCACAUCAUGCUGCGUGCCGCGACAGGGGCAAGGUCGACGGCAGGAAGCAGGGACCGUAGCUUCUAGAUGCGCCGCCCACAUGCAGGUACAUACAUGUUAGAACAAUUAGACUGAAGAGGUUCCCACGCCUGCGCAAUGAUACCGUGACUGAGGAAAGGUGACCUGCCCUGGCUCGGGCCAGGGCUCUCCUUAGGUCAAAUGCCAUUUCUGGAAGAGCAGCUGGAAAUACCCUGUGCUUUGUUACCUUUGGGAUUGUCUUCCAUAACAGAAAAGUGUUCAUUGUCCCUUGGAAUGUGCAGGGCUCAAAGGACAGACCAACACGGGUGACAGACGGCCGGGUUGGCGCCGAUCUCUGCGUACGCCUGUGACUCAAGGUAAUUAUUCAUAAGGCCCCCCUGUCACUCUCAGAAGUGACCCGGUUGGAUGGUAAAUUUUAAGAUCAUCGAUUUGUAAUUGUUGAGAAAGGGGGAGACAACGCCUCUCUGGGGACAGACCCCCUGGAGAGCCCGCCUGGGUCCGAGGCAUUAGGUUGAUGGAAGAAGCAGCUUUUCCAAACCCUUCUGAAGAGCUGUCUGCUGCACCCACCCUUCAUGGCUCUGAGCAGCCAGAUACCCCAGCUCCCGAGGCACCGGGAUGCCCUACCAAAGCCAGGUGGACCUGUUGGCCUUCUCAGCAUGCCUGGAUUGGAAACACCACCUUAUGCCUGCCCUCCGGUUGACCCUGAGCUGACCAAGAUGAAACGCUGGUCUUGCUUCUUGGCCUCCAGGCCUGAGGCCUUCUGGUCGUAGGUUCCAGAAAGCAUCAGUGCCCCAUGCUGGUGCAGUGACGGCUCCUAGGGAGGCCCAUUCCACCAUCCUAUGCAGAUUCUCGCCUAGGGAGAUGGGACUGAGAGGAAGUGGCUGGGCAGGGGACCUCGGGGAGUCUCAAAGACCUGACACCCCCAAACUUAGUCCUUUGCCUCCAGCUCCAUGGUCAUGAAGGUUGGUCUAACCCCUCAGCCCUACAAGGUUUCUUCCCGCAGGAGGUGGCCAGGACCAACAGGAGGAUGGGUUUUCCUGAGCUAUCACUGGGGACAGGCCAGCUCUGUGGAGAACAUUCUCAUCUAGGGCCUGAUCUGUGAAGUGACUCUGUAACUCAGCAGCUCUGCCUAAACGCUGUAGAACACACCGAUCACCAUGAGGCUGUCAAAACAUUCAUUUAGCUGAUGAGAAGAGCUUAUUAGGGCUUUUAAAAAUA